UGCGAACACACGAGGAUAAUGCUUAGAACUUCGGAUUGAUUGAUCGGAUGCAAAAGGGUCAUGUAGAUCAGUUGGCCGAGGAGGUGGUUGCUUUGAUUGAGAAGGAAGAUUGGCACGGCGCACACAUUGCACGAACAGCCCUUGUGGACUGGAUCACAAAUGUUAUUGGUCUUGCGACACCUCUUGACGUAAGGAGGUCCGUGCCCUACCACUGCGCCAACGAUGGAUCUGAUUUUUUGGAAACUUUUCUGAACCAGAAGAAGGUGAAAGAGGCGUUAUCUGCAGAUGAAGGAGCUCAGUGGGUGUCGUGUAAUCCAAGAGUCCGAGCAGCAAUGGCGCCUGAUGUGAUGCGCAGUGUCAGAUGGAUGGUUGAUGAACUACUUCCUCACAUUCCGAUUCUUUUUUAUUCAGGAAUGUUUGAUAUCAAAGAUGGAGUUGAUUGUAACGAGGAAUGGAUGAGCACGUUGACAUGGGAAGGGCUCAGUCUUAUCUAGCAACUCCGAGGACUAUAUGGCGUGUGAAUGACGUAGUGGCAGGGUAUUGGCGAACUUAUUAGACCUUGUCACACGUCGUAGUUCUGGGAGCUGGCCACCUUGUUCCUGCAGAUCAGGGUUUACACUCUCAAAAGAUGAUAGAGACAUGGAUCGGACAACGAACUUCUCAAGGGUCGGAAUCGUAGACUUCUCAGCAUCACUGCAAUCUCUUACGCCUUCGAGAUUAUGUAAAAAGCGCAGGAGAAUGGAAACUCUCUAUUUACAGAGGUUGGUAAUCAUUUCAAGCAUUUUUCUGGAAUCUUUUGCAAAGCUCUAAUACGUAAAUGACAUCGACAAUGCUAAGACUCAUUAAGGCUAAUUGGUGGUUGUUAUGAACCUACAAUAUGGUAAUCUUUAAGCAUUCUAGUGACUGCUUCCUACCGCUCAUCAGACUGUUUUUAGGUGGGCGAUCACUUCUAUAUUUUGGAGGGCAUCAUAGGAGUGACCUCCAGUUAGUCUUUGUUGUUGAUGCCAUAGCGAAGUUAACAUUAAUUGAUGUUCUACAGGCCAAUAUCCAGAAUUGUUUUUCUCAAUUGACAGUUGGGGUUAAGGACUUGCUCAAAUAUGAAGUAAUUUCUUCGAAUUGAAAUGCACAAUAUUUGGUAUUUUCAACCCUGCAGAUUGUUUCUGAAGAUGAACUGCACUUUCUGUGACGCUUGCAUAUCUGUGCAGAAGAAAAUCAUUUCAAAUGAUCUCCUCGCAAGUACGAUGUAAUGCAUUAUCAGAAAAUAUGUCAUUAUCAUCUAACAGAAAUCAAUCGUAGGAUGUAUUGCAUUCGACUAAAUAUGAGGCUCAAUGUGUAUUGAAGUGCUCUUUAUACUCUGAGUCUUUUCAUUAAUUCUUUGACUGGUUAUUGAACGUGAUACUCUUACUGUAGUUAAUCUGGUAUUUAGUUUUGCUCUUCAACGAUGUUUCUAAAAGAUUUCAUUGCGAUUUGUUGAAAUAGACUUUUGUAUCAACUUACGUGGACAAUAUGUGCAGUGUUUAUCUAACUUUGACCUUCUUCGCAGAUAAUUUCCCUAAAUUACUCAAACAGUUGAAAAUUUGAGUUCCGAUAGCAAUGACGAUGGUGGAGCCAGGAGACGGUUGAAGCUGCAUGCAUUUGUGCUCGCAACUUGUUAUUUCAUAGUGGAUAUAGUGAAUAUUCAUGAGUUUUUCGCUUUGUCAAACCCUGGUUACAUCACGAUUGUGCUUGUAUAGUGGAUUUUGUUCUGAUAUGUUCUUCAAGAGUUUUCAGUUUUCUGACAUCAUUGUGUACUUGCUGCAGUCUUUCAAAGCAUGAUAGGUUUUGAUUCGUGAUAGACGAUUGUCUCGUGCUGGUAUUCUUAACCCAGACUUUGAAAACCAGACCAAACCGUCUUGAGCUGCUUGCUAUAACUUCCUUUCAUUCGGCUUCUUCAAGUCCUCGCCACGACCUUUCAAAAAAACCACAAAUCGUGAACUUCCUAUUUAUGUGCACACACUCAUUCUCAUCCAUUGGUUGCACAAAGACUAAAUUGAUGUGACGUAAUCCCGAUUCCAUUGAAGGCAUAAUGUGUAUAAUCGUGUUGGAAUGAGCCAACAUUUGUUUCGUCUCAAGGGAGAACAUUCCCGUAUUAAUGACAUGCGCUUCGAGUCAUUUUUUUGAGAGUCUUUGUUUCUGGCCAGAAGGUGGCGUAGGAGGUUUGAUCAAUGCGACAGUAAAUUAGCGAGUCACAGCUGCUACUUGGACUUCCGAAUGAGUUGCAAGUUGCUUUGUGUAAUAUUCCACAGAUGGGUUCUGAACAUAUUCAUGCCUUGUAAUGAAGCUCCUCGAUGCCGAUGAUUGUGGCAACCGUCAUUUCAGUGUGGGGGCAGCGAAGUCCCGUGACCAGAUCUUUGAAGACACUUUGAAAAGGAUGGUAUCCCCAACCUCUUCGCCUCAUCGAUGUGAAAUCUUUCUCUAGGAUUCGUGUCCUCUUAGAUUCUAAUUCAGACGUGAAAACUAAGUAGAAAGUGGAGGUGUAGUUUUGCCGCAUAUCAUGCCACCUGAAGGUCUCUUAUGUCAUGCGUCUCUACAUCAAAUGACUUGUUGGGUGCACGCUGAAGACGCUGGUCUUUGUCAUUCAAGAAAAAUGCUGCAACGACUCAGUUGCUCAGAUCUGAUAAACCUUUGCAACACUUUUUGUAUGUUCAUAGCAAUUGUACUCAGUUUAUAGAUCUCAUUUUGGCAAUUUAAGUUCUGAUAACAUCUGAAUCGUCAAGACAGAAUCCUGAGGAAGGUGUGUUCAAUCGUGAUGCUUGGGGAAUAGUUACACAAGGACGUAGGGCAAGUAACGUCUGACGAUAACACAUUUCAGUGUCAAGUCCUAUAUUUUAAAUGAAAUAGUUUGUACCUGCGACACUCAGAGGUUGCAACA